rnacentral:rRNA from 1 species
CAGUAGCCACGGUAAUACGUAGGGUGCGAGCGUUAAUCGGAAUUACUGGGCGUAAAGCGUGCGCAGGCGGUUUCUUAAGUCUGAUGUGAAAGCCCCCGGCUCAACCGGGGAGGGUCAUUGGAAACUGGGAAACUUGAGUGCAGAAGAGGAGAGUGGAAUUCCACGUGUAGCGGUGAAAUGCGUAGAGAUGUGGAGGAACACCAGUGGCGAAGGCGACUCUCUGGUCUGUAACUGACGCUGAGGAGCGAAAGCGUGGGGAGCGAACAGGAUUAGAUACCCCGGUAGUCCCUGUCUCUUAUAC